UGUUUCUCACCUCUGGAGGACUCAGUGUUCAAGGUGCCAUCUUGGAAGCAGAGAGCAGCCCUCACUAGACUACAAACCUGCUGGCACUUUGAUCUUAGACUCCCCGCCCACCAGAACUGGUCUUGCUCUGUUGCUCAAGCUGGAGUGUGGUAGCACCAUCAUGGCUCACUGCAGCCUUGACCUCCCCUGGAUCAAGCGAUCCUCCUACCUCAGCCUCCCAAGCGGCUGGGACCAACAGGUAGUUUGCUGGCCCCGGCUCCAGAUCAUAUUGUGUUAUGGAACUGCCGUGUGGCCAAUGCGGAGGAAAAGCUGAUGGACGACCUUCUGAACAAAACCCGUUACAAUAACCUGAUCCGCCCAGCCACCAGCUCCUCACAGCUCAUCUCCAUCAAGCUGCAGCUCUCCCUGGCCCAGCUUAUCAGCGUGAAUGAGCGAGAGCAGAUCAUGACCACCAAUGUCUGGCUGAAACAGGAAUGGACUGAUUACCGCCUGACCUGGAACAGCUCCCGCUACGAGGGUGUGAACAUCCUGAGGAUCCCUGCAAAGCGCAUCUGGUUGCCUGACAUCGUGCUUUACAACAAGUGAGUGGCAGGGU
rnacentral:sRNA from 1 species